rnacentral:pre_miRNA from 1 species
AAAAAGACAAACCCUGGUUUCCGUGCCCAACGUUUGACCGUCCGUCUUAUUUGAAAAAAUUAUAAAAAAAACUAAAAAAACAAGUCACGCAUAAAAUAUUAAUCAUGUUUUAUUAUCUAACAACAAUGAAAAUAUGAAUUAUAAAAAAAUUUCAUAUAAGACGGAUAGUUAAAGUUGGACACGCAAACCCAGGGUUUGCCUUUUU